rnacentral:rRNA from 1 species
CUGCAGGGAAAGCCAUUCAAAUCCAACAGCCGUUCGACAAGGUGUGGCUGCACUGCAUUGAUGUGGAUUCUUAGGCCUGAUGACAAAGGAUGGUACAUACGCGAACACAAAUCAGAGCACAACCAUGCGCUUUCAGUUAACUGUAUGGAGAAAUUGUAUUGGAAGUUGCACCGACACAUAGAUAGAUAUGCGAGAGACCCGGCGAAAUAGCUGAGAGAGAACAACAUAAGCCUAAGCAAGGUUUACAAUGUUGUGGGGUUCUUUUUUGGAUCAGUGAAGGAGGUGCCAUUCAUGAAAGGAUCUUUGAAAACACUUUGUGGAAAACUUAAUAGAGAACAGUUGAAAAAUGAUGCCACAAAAACCAUAGAGGUGUUCAAAGCAAUGCGGGCUGAAGAUCCUAAGUACAAAUAUAGUGUACAGGUUGAUGAUGAUGGCCGAGUAAAAAUUCUGAUGUGGACGACCGGGCGAAGCAUUGAGCAGUUUAACUGUUUUGGUGAUGCUACAAACAUUUGGUAUCACGUAGUCCCUCCGUCCGAAAAUACUUGUCAUUAA